GACGAACGCUGGCGGCGUGCUUAACACAUGCAAGUCGAACGGAAAGGCCCCCUUGUGGGGUACUCGAGUGGCGAACGGGUGAGUAACACGUGAGUAACCUACCCUUGACUUUGGGAUAACUUCAGGAAACUGGGGCUAAUACCGGAUAGGAGCUCCUGCUGCAUGGUGGGGGUUGGAAAGUUUCGGCGGUUGGGGAUGGACUCGCGGCUUAUCAGCUUGUUGGUGGGGUAGUGGCUCACCAAGGCUUUGACGGGUAGCCGGCCUGAGAGGGUGACCGGCCACAUUGGGACUGAGAUACGGCCCAGACUCCUACGGGAGGCAGCAGUGGGGAAUAUUGCACAAUGGGCGGAAGCCUGAUGCAGCAACGCCGCGUGCGGGAUGACGGCCUUCGGGUUGUAAACCGCUUCCGCCUGUGACGAAGCGUGAGUGACGGUAAUGGGUAAAGAAGCACCGGCUAACUACGUG
rnacentral:rRNA from 1 species